rnacentral:lncRNA from 1 species
UGUUGGCGGUCGGCGAGGAAGAGGGAGGCCUAAGAAGUAUUGGGGAGAGGUGAUUAGGCAGGACAUGACUAGAAUGCAGGUUUCCGAGAACAUGACCCUUGAUAGGAAAGUCUAGAGGUCUAGAAUCAGGGUUGUAGGAUAGGUCGUACGCCUCAUCCGGGGUUGGGAGUGGGUCAACAGGGUUACCCAUAGAUGAUUUGUGUUUUAGCUUAUGUCCCCCCUAUGGCUGUUAGUUAUGGUAGUUACUGUAUGAUAUUAUUGCAUGCAAUUGUAUUUAUGUUUCGUAUGUUUAGAUAAUUAUUUAUGCUACUUACGCUUCUGCUGGAGUUACUAAUGCUUUAUUGUUUUUUUUUUGUCUUUGUUUUUGUUUUACUGCUAUUUUUCCUUUUAUCCUAUGAGCCGGGGGUCGAUUNNN